rnacentral:rRNA from 1 species
AGUAAUAUAUCGGAACGUACCCUAGAGUGGGGGAUAACGUAGCGAAAGUUACGCUAAUACCGCAUACGAUCUAAGGAUGAAAGUGGGGGAUCGCAAGACCUCAUGCUCGUGGAGCGGCCGAUAUCUGAUUAGCUAGUUGGUAGGGUAAAAGCCUACCAAGGCAUCGAUCAGUAGCUGGUCUGAGAGGACGACCAGCCACACUGGAACUGAGACACGGUCCAGACUCC